rnacentral:rRNA from 1 species
UCGAGAAUCAUUCGCAAUGGGCGAAAGCCUGACGAUGCGACGCCGUGUGAGCGAUGAAGGCCUUAGGGUCGUAAAGCUCUUUCGCCUGGGAACAAGAGAAGCCGGCUAAUAUCCGGUGGAUUUGAGGGUACCAGGUAAAGAAGCACCGGCUAACUCCGUGCCAGCAGCUGCGGUAAUACGGAGGGUGCAAGCAUUAAUCGGAUUUAUUGGGCGUAAAGGGCGCGUAGGCUGACAAGUAAGUCAGAUGUGAAAUCCCGGGGCUCAACCCCGGAACAGCAUUUGAAACUGCAUGUCUAGAGGGCAGGCGGAGAAAACGGAAUUCCACAAGUAGCGGUGAAAUGCGUAGAUAUGUGGAAGAACACCGGUGGCGAAGGCGGUUUUCUAGCUUGGACCUGACGCUGAGGCGCGAAAGCAAGGGGAUCAAACAGGAUUAGAUACCCCCGUAGUCC